GUGGGGAAUAUUGGGCAAUGGAGGAAACUCUGACCCAGCCAUGCCGCGUGGGUGAUUGAAGGUCUUCGGAUUGUAAAGCCCUUUCAGCGGGGACGAUGAUGACGGUACCCGCAGAAGAAGCCCCGGCUAACUUCGUGCCAGCAGCCGCGGUAAUACGAAGGGGGCUAGCGUUGUUCGGAUUUACUGGGCGUAAAGGGCGCGUAGGCGGCCCGUUUAGUCAGGCGUGAAAUGCCCGAGCUCAACUCGGGAAAUGCGCUUGAUACUGGCGGGCUUGAAUCCGGGAGAGGAUGGUGGAACUCCCAGUGUAGAGGUGAAAUUCGUAGAUAUUGGGAAGAACACCCGUGGCGAAGGCGGCCAUCUGGACCGGUAUUGACGCUAAAGCGCGACAGCGUGGGGAGCAAACAGGAUUAGAUACCCUGGUAGUCC
rnacentral:rRNA from 1 species